GCAACUCCACAUGGAGGUAAAAGGCCCAUGGGUCGUGAACUUCUUUUCCCAGAGAAGAAGCAAUGACGAUAACUGGGGAAUAAGUAUCAGCUAACUUUGUGCCAGCAGAUGUGGUAAGAAAAAUGAUGCAAGAUAGAGGAUGCAAGCGUUAUCCAGAAUGAUUGGGUGUAAAGCGUCUAUAGGUAGCUUUUUAAGUCAGCCGUCAAAUCCCAAGGCUCAACCCUGGACAGGUGGUGGAAACUACCAAGUUGGAAUACGGUAGGGGUAGAGGAAAUUUUCGGUGGAGUGGUGAAAGCGUAGAGAUUGAAAAGAACACCAA
rnacentral:lncRNA from 1 species